CCAAUAGCGUAUAUUAAAGUUGUUGCAGUUAAAAAGCUCGUAGUUGAAUUUCGGGAUCAAUGUUUCGGUCAUGCCGUUGGUAUGUACUGAUAUUAUUGAUUUCUCACCUUCUAAAGAACCGUAAUGCCAUUAAUUUGGUGUCACGGGGAAUUAGGACUGUUACCUUGAAAAAAUUAGAGUGUUUAAAGCAGGCUCACGCUUGAAUACAUUAGCAUGGAAUAAUGAAAUAGGACAUCCGAUUCUAUUUUGUUGGUUUCUAGGAUCGAUGUAAUGAUUAAUAGGGAUAGUUGGGGGCAUUAGUAUUCAAUUGUCAGAGGUGAAAUUCUUGGAUUUAUUGAAGACUAACUACUGCGAAAGCAUUUGCCAAGGAUGUUUUCAUUAAUCAAGAACGAAAGUUAGGGGAUCGAAGACGAUCAGAUACCGUCGUAGUCUUAACCAUAAACUAUGCCGACUAGGGAUCGGAUGAUGUUAAUUUUUUAAUGACUCAUUCGGCGCCUUAUGAGAACCAAAGUGUUUGGGUUC
rnacentral:misc_RNA from 1 species